UCUCCUUCUUCGACCCUUCAACUUUACUGUCUCAGCUAUUUUUUCGAAGUCUGAAAAACACCAGUCCUUUUCUCAACUCUUUACCUCCCCUAUCUUUUCAUAUCCAUGCUUUGGCUUCGUUCAAAGUCCUCUUAACGUUUGACAAUAAAUUACUUUUUUCAUUAAAGCCAUUUACAAUUUUGAGCUCUUCAUCUCCCACCUCAAACCCUAUAAAUUGGAGAGGAGAGGGGUUGAGAGUAGGAUGAAUCUUCACCGACGGAAACUCUCAAUUUAUCUUCUAUCUCAAACCUAGAAACCUCCUUUCCAGAUCAUUUUUUCUAGACUGCGUUGGCCGUGGCUCAAUACCCUAACCACCAUUAUCUGAGGGUCCAGGCGGUGGUGGAGCUGCGUAACCUCCAAAAGGCUUCUCCUUUUUCGGCUUAUAAUCCCCUGCUAUAGCAGGCGCGUACAAUGCAGGCGUGGCGCACAUGAAGAUGGCGGAUUUGGUGCGCCGUAUGGCACAACGUAAGGAGAGGAAGGUUAUGAACCAUACGGCGGAUUGUUUCCACCAGCGAACCGUAACCUUGGCUCUUGGGAGGAUAACAUGUCAUCGCUGGAUUCGAAAAGGAGAAAGAAAUCAAGAAAGAAGCGUAUUUAGAAUCCUUUGGAGUUCUUAAUUCUCUCACCAAAGUGUGGGUUGUAGUUCUGAUUGCUUUGUAUGAGCAGAAUGACAAGCCUUCCUCUGCUUAAGAGCUACAAUGAACCACAACGUCAUCAUACACUUCAGAUGCGAAGGUCGCAUGUAUUGUUUAGUGUUGAAGAAUGCUGUGGAGGAGAUAGAUCUUUCAAUGGUAGAAGCACGCAUAUGCAAAAAGGUGGGGCUUGAUGAAUGUAAUGUGAAGUUGAAAUUGAGUUACAUUCCACUGCUGGUUGGGAGUGACGAGAAAUUCGCCAUUUGUGAUGAGGAGGAUCUUUGUGGUUAUCUUUUGUCCCUUGAUAAAAACAACCGUAAGUGCAUUUUGUUGGUGGAGGUCAUCGAAAGGUUAGAACUCUCAGAGCAACUUUCAAGAGCGGGCAAACCAAGUUCAAAACGAAGUUCAAAAGCGGGGAAACGAAAUUCUGUAGGUAUGAACUAUGAGGUGUGCCCUUCUAAUGAUGAUGAAAUCGGAGAUAAAACCAUAACUCGAUAUGGUGGCGACAAUCAAGUUGAUAAACAAUAUGAGUAGAGGAUUGUGGCGAUUGAAGAUGGAACCUCCUGUUUUAUUGAAAAAUUUUACUUUGUUUUAUUUGACUUUACUUUAUUUGUCCUUUAAUACCAUAUAAAUUUUUUUGAUCAAAAGACUUAAAAUAGAUACAUUGAAAAUUUUUACUUUGUUUUAUUUUACUUUGUUUUAUUUGACUUUACUUUAUUUGUCAUUUAUCAAAAUAAUUAAAAUAGUAGUUUCUAGAAUAAAAAAAUACAUAAAAAUAAAUACAAAUACUAGUUUCUAGAAUCAAAAAAAUUAAGAAAAUAUACAAAUACUAGUUUCUAGAAUAAAAAAAAUACAUAAAAAUAAAUAUAAAUACUAGUUUCUAGAAGAAAAAUACAAAUACUAGUUUCUAAAAUAAAAAUACAAAUACUAUUAUGGAUAAUUGUUUUCUGUUUUUGUAUUACUAGUAUGACUUUCUUUAAUCGAAUUUCGAAAUCAAAAUGUUUGAAAUUGGAAAUCAGAAUAAGAAAUAUUAUCUUCAGUAGUCGAAAAAUGUUAUAUUCAACAUGAAAAAAAUAUAUUAUACUCUGCAAUAAAAAAAACAACCCAUCACACUACAUACAUUUUCAUAGACAUUUUAUGAAAUAUGUAAUUACUCAAUAUUAGAUUCCAUUAUAAAAUAUGUUUUCACACUUUUAUUACGUAAAACAUCAAUAUUCAUCUUUUCGAAUCUUAUAUUUUAUUGUACAACUAAAAAAGUGUUUUAUAAUUACAUGUAAUACUAAAAUUAUUGAAAAUCACCGAAAGUACAACUAUUUGGUAAUUUUGUACAACUACUAUCUUGAGUAGAACCACGUGUAUAUAUUAGGCGGGAUUUCGAAAAAAAAUUUUGGCGGACUUUUAUGAGUCAAGGCGGAAUUUUCGAGGAGAAAAUAGAUUCCCACUUCCCUCUCUCUUCUCUCUCUCCUCUCUUCUCUCUCUGUUUUCCUCGAUUCCUUCCUUCUCCUAUCUCUCCCAUCCCCUCGUCCCUCUAUCACCUUUCGCAAAUGGAUCCAUGGGUUGAGAAUCAGGAAAGGAAGGAGAUGAAGAAGAUGAAGAAACAUUUUGACAUGGUUCAGUUUAUUUGCGAUGCUGAACAUGGGAUUCCAACUUCGUGCCCAUGUGGGGGACGAAUCGUCGACGAGGUUUCUACUAAUCCAACAGAUAAGGAUUUUCUACCAGGCCGAAGGUACUUCACUUGCAAUGAGUACAAGAAUGAUGGGUUCCACUUCCGUCAACCAUGGGUUCUCGGGGUUGAGGAAGAGGUUCAAUCCUUAAGGCAGGAGGUGGACAAAAUGGCUGAAGAGAUGGACAAAAUGGCUGAAGAAAUUGCUCAGCUUAAGGACCUUCUUACCCGUAAAUAAGAAGCCUUAUGUUGUUUGGAUUUGUGGAAUAAGCCUUAUGUUUGGAUUUGUGGAAUUUUGUGAUGUUGUGUUAAAGACUAUCUCCUAAUUAAUGUGAUGUUGUGUUAAGA